rnacentral:miRNA from 1 species
AUACAGCAGCAGGGUUU